rnacentral:misc_RNA from 1 species
CCAAACUUGGUCAUUUAGAGGAAGUAAAAGUCGUAACAAGGUUUCCGUAGGUGAACCUGCGGAAGGAUCAUUAUUGAAUGAACUUGGUCUAGACUGUUGCUGGUCCCUGGUUCUUUCCAGACAUGUGCACGUCUAUUCCACUUUUGUUGACCCAAUCUCUCCCAUUGUGCACUUUUUGUAAAUCUGAAUAACUUUCUCGAGGUCGAACUCGGACUGAGAAUUUGCUGGAUGUUGAUUAUCAGCUUUUCUUGUAAAUAUUUCAGAUCUAUGACUUCAUCAAAUAUACCUAUUGUUAUGAGUGUAAUGUUUGUGGGCUUAUUGGAAUUAUUACAACUUUCAACAACGGAUCUCUUGGCUCUCGCAUCGAUGAAGAACGCAGC